rnacentral:rRNA from 1 species
GACGAACGCUGGCGGCGUGCCUAAUACAUGCAAGUAGAACGCUGAAGGAGGAGCUUGCUUCUCUGGAUGAGUUGCGAACGGGUGAGUAACGCGUAGGUAACCUGCCUGGUAGCGGGGGAUAACUAUUGGAAACGAUAGCUAAUACCGCAUAAUAGCAGUUGUUGCAUGACAACUGUUUGAAAGGUGCAAUUGCACCACUACCAGAUGGACCUGCGUUGUAUUAGCUAGUUGGUGGGGUAACGGCUCACCAAGGCGACGAUACAUAGCCGACCGGAGAGGGGGAGCGGCCACACUGGGACGGAGACACGGCCCAGACGCCUACGGGAGGCAGCAGGAGGGAAUCUUCGGCAAGCGGCGGAAGUCUGACCGAGCAACGCCGAGGGAGGGAAGAAGGUUGUCGGAUCGGAAAGGUCGGUUGUAAGGGAAGAACGAGUGUGAGAGUGGAAAGUUCACACUGUGACGGUAUCUGACCAGAAAGGGACGGCUAACUACGUG